rnacentral:rRNA from 1 species
AUUGUUUGAACGAUGGGGGGACGCAGUAGGAUAGGCGAAGCGUGCUGUUGGAGUGCACGUCCAAGCAAUAAGACUGAGUGUUAGGCAAAUCCGGCACUCGUAAGGUUGAGUUGUGAUGGGGAGUUGGAUCAUGUAUCCGACGAGUCGUUGAUUUCACACUGCCAAGAAAAGCCUCUAGUUAGAAAAUAGGUGCCCGUACCGCAAACCGACACAGGUAGUCAAGAUGAGAAUUCUAAGGUGAGCGAGCGAACUCUCGUUAAGGAACUCGGCAAAAUGACCCCGUAACUUCGGGAGAAGGGGUGCUUUUUAGGGUGCAAGCCUUGAAGAGCCGCAGUGAAUAGGCCCAAGCGACUGUUUAUCAAAAACACAGGUCUCUGCUAAACCGUAAGGUGAUGUAUAGGGGCUGACGCCUGCCCGGUGCUGGAAGGUUAAGAGGAGUGGUUAGCUUCUGCGAAGCUACGAAUCGAAGCCCCAGUAAACGGCGGCCGUAACUAUAACGGUCCUAAGGUAGCGAAAUUCCUUGUCGGGUAAGUUCCGACCCGCACGAAAGGCGUAACGAUUUGGGCACUGUCUCAACGAGAGACUCGGUGAAAUCAUAGUACCUGUGAAGAUGCAGGUUACCCGCGACAGGACGGAAAGACCCCGUGGAGCUUUACUGUAGCCUGAUAUUGAAAUUUGGCACAGCUUGUACAGGAUAGGUAGGAGCCUUUGAAACGUGAGCGCUAGCUUACGUGGAGGCGCUGGUGGGAUACUACCCUGGCUGUGUUGACUUUCUAACCCGCACCAUUUGAUCAUGGUGGGAGACAGUGUCAGGCGGGCAGUUUGACUGGGGCGGUCGCCUCCUAAAGAGUAACGGAGGCGCUCAAAGGUUCCCUCAGAAUGGUUGGAAAUCAUUCGCAGAGUGUAAAGGCACAAGGGAGCUUGACUGCGAGACCUACAAGUCGAGCAGGGUCGAAAGACGGACUUAGUGAUCCGGUGGUUCCGCAUGGAAGGGCCAUCGCUCAACGGAUAAAAGCUACCCCGGGGAUAACAGGCUUAUCUCCCCCAAGAGUUCACAUCGACGGGGAGGUUUGGCACCUCGAUGUCGGCUCAUCGCAUCCUGGGGCUGUAGUCGGUCCCAAGGGUUGGGCUGUUCGCCCAUUAAAGCGGUACGCGAGCUGGGUUCAGAACGUCGUGAGACAGUUCGGUCCCUAUCCGUCGUGGGCGUAGGAAAUUUGAGAGGAGCUGUCCUUAGUACGAGAGGACCGGGAUGGACAUACCUCUGGUGUACCAGUUGUCGCGCCAGCGGCAUAGCUGGGUAGCUAUGUAUGGACGGGAUAAGUGCUGAAAGCAUCUAAGCAUGAAGCCCCCCUCAAGAUGAGAUUUCCCAACUUCGGUUAUAAGAUCCCUCAAAGAUGAUGAGGUUAAUAGGUUCGGGGUGUAAGC